rnacentral:lncRNA from 1 species
CUACUUUCCUUGAGCUAACUUAAACUUACUACUCAUUUGUAUCUAUUAAAGUGCUGGGGACCUCCUGCAUGCAAGCAAAACAGCCAGUUCCCCACUGCUCACAGGUCUGUCAGCAUACGAGGUAUCCUUGCUCCCUGUGGCAGCUUCAACACUCUCUGCAGGACUUUCCUACCCACCACUGCCAGCACCUGCAUCCCUCAAGUGGCAUAGGGGCCACGUGCAUGCCCAGCCGUGGAGCAGCAGGCUGUGAGAGGCCAUAACUAAUGGUUUUCUCUUCUGUCCAAGAUGGGCGUGGUGGUGCACAUCUGUAAUCCCAAGGCAGAAGCAGAAGGAUCACUGUGAGUUCAAGGCCUGCCUGGAGUAUAUAGUGAGUCCCUGUCUCAAAAGACAACCAAAUAAAC